rnacentral:rRNA from 1 species
GAUGAACGCUGGCUACAGGCUUAACACAUGCAAGUCGAGGGGAAACGACGGGGAAGCUUGCUUCCCCGGGCGUCGACCGGCGCACGGGUGAGUAACGCGUAUCCAACCUGCCUCUGACUGAGGGAUAACCCGUCGAAAGUCGGCCUAAUACCUCAUGGUAUCGUCUGCGGGCAUCCAACGACGAUUAAAGAUUUCAUCGGUCAGGGAUGGGGAUGCGUCUGAUUAGCUUGUUGGCGGGGUAACGGCCCACCAAGGCUACGAUCAGUAGGGGUUCUGAGAGGAAGGUCCCCCACAUUGGAACUGAGACACGGUCCAAACUCCUACGGGAGGCAGCAGUGAGGAAUAUUGGUCAAUGGGCGAGAGCCUGAACCAGCCAAGUAGCGUGCAGGAAGACGGCCCUAUGGGUUGUAAACUGCUUUUAUGCGGGGAUAAAGUGAGGGACGUGUCCCUCAUUGCAGGUACCGCAUGAAUAAGGACCGGCUAAUUCCGUGCCAGCAGCCGCGGUAAUACGGAAGGUCCUGGCGUUAUCCGGAUUUAUUGGGUUUAAAGGGAGCGUAGGCCGUGGAUUAAGCGUGUUGUGAAAUGCAGGUGCUCAACGUCUGCACUGCAGCGCGAACUGGUCCACUUGAGUGUGCGCAACGCAGGCGGAAUUCGUCGUGUAGCGGUGAAAUGCUUGGAUAUGACGAAAAACUCCGAUUGCGAAGGCAGCUUGCGGGAGCACAACUGACGCUGAAGCUCGAAAAGUGCGGGUAUCGAACAGG